rnacentral:rRNA from 1 species
GAUGAACGCUGGCGGCGUGCCUAACACAUGCAAGUCGAGCGAAGCGGGGACGGGUGAGUAACACGUGGAUAACCUCCUUUAAGACUGGGAUAACUUCGGGAAACCGGAGCUAAACCGGAUACUUAUACAUGGUUCCGAGCUGCAUUAGUUAGUUGGUAAGGUAACGGCUUACCAAGGCUACGAUGCAUAGCCGACCUGAGAGGGUGAUCAGCCACACUGGAACUGAGACACGGUCCAGACUCCUACGGGAGGCAGCAGUAGGGAAUCUUCCGCAAUGGGCGAAAGCCUGACGGAGCCACGCCGCGUGAGUGAUGAAGGUCUUCGGAUCGUAAAGCUCUGUUAUUAGGGAGGCGUUACCUAAAGAAGAAGCCACGGCUAACUACGUGCCAGCCGCCGCGGUAAUAC